UCCGAAUCGGAAUAUUUUUCCUAGCGGAUGCGCAGUGGCUUUCUGGACUAUCACGCAAGUUGAAAUUAUGGUAUCAUUAAAAUCUUGAUCAAUAUGGUUGUUUCAACUAAGGAAAAAUUGGAGUCAUCUUCAUAAUAUGCUUCUAAAAAUGUAUUUUAUUGUGGCAUUUUAAUUCCCAAAAAAUAUUAUAAUUAAAUAUUCCAGUCAACAGCCAUUAUCUCGUGGAAUUUUCAGAACCAAGGUCGAUUUCCUUGAAAGUUCGGAUUUAGGUAGUAAUUAUAACCUUUGUUAAAAUCUACCCUACGCCGAAGCGGACUUUUGCGUUGGGGUGAAAACAGCCCCAUCUAGGGGAUAAAAAUUUUUUCAAUCAAAAUAACUAUGGAAGUCGAUAGAUCGACCAAUUCUGAGUAAAUUUUGCUGUAUAAAUUUUUUUGCAAAGUUGAUGAAUGGAACAAUUUAGUACAAAUUGUCGGAUACGCAGAUGACAUAGACGUAAUAGGUAGAUCCACAGAAUAUCUGACUGAAGCAUUUCGGUCGUUAAGAGCAUCUGCACAGAAAAUGGGACUAAAUAUAAAUGUUCAGAAGUUCAGAAGACCAAGCACUAGGUCAAGCAACCCGACACCUACAAGAAUAAUAAUUGACGACCUAGAACUGAAUAUUGAAGAUGAAUAGUGCUCGCCAAUAAGUGUUGCUAUUUAAGAAGACAGAUGGCCUCAAAAAUAUCUAUAAAAAUUAAAUUGACUGUCUACAAAACGCUAAUAAGACCAGUGCUAACAUAUGGUUCAGAAACUUCGUCACUUACACAGAAUGACCAAGAACUGCUCAAAUGUUUUGAGCGAAAAAUUCUAAGACGAAUAUAUGGAGGCAUAAAAGAACAAUGUUUGUGGCGCAGGCGUUACAACUUUGAAUUGUAUAGAUUUUUUUAUGAACCUGACGUAAAAUUCUUUAAGGUAGCAUGCCUUAGAUGGAUAAGGUCAUGUAAUCAGGCGAGAGGAAGAUGCCAUAGUCAGAAAAGUUUUUGACCGAAGAGGGCCGAUAGGACAACGAACAAGAGGAAGACCGAGACUUAGGUACCAAGACAACUUAGAAAAUGAUUUAAAAUCUAUUGGAAUUAGAGCAUGGAGAAGAGUUGUCAGAGACAGGGGCGAAUGGAGGAUUGUUCUGAAGAGGCUUUGGCUCAUAAAGAGCUGUAACGCCACUGAUGAGGAUGAUGAAAUCAGGGUAAUUAUUCAAAGUAAUUAAUUUCUAACCGUUUUUUUUUAAACGUUUGUGUAUGUGAACAGCAUUCUGAUAUUUCGAUAAAAGAACUAAACGUGAUUUUAGAUAACAACUUUUUUUUUGUUUAUUGGUAUUGGGAAGAACCCGUUUUGCCACGAAAAUUUAUAACAUUUGGAAGUCUAUACAUAUAACUGAACACAAUUUGUUACAAAUACAAUUUUUACAAAUCUAUACAUAUAAAUACAGUAACUGAAUACAAUUAUUUGGUACAAAUACAAUUUUUACAAAUCUAUACAUAUAAAUUUAAUACCUAACUGAAUACAAUUUGGAUUGGAUGAUACAGACCUAAAAGUUGAGGAAAUUAUAAGCGUCUCCUCGUACGGCCCAAGAAGUUAUAAAAAAUAGCUCUUACCUCGGGAUUAUGGAGUCAUCCAGCAUAAUAGAAAGAUAAUUUUGGGGAAACGGGAUUUUUAGUUUAGUUAGUUCCGUAAUAAGGUAAGGGGUGUCGUUAGAAUUAUGACUCCAUUGAAAAAUCCAGUGAUUAAAGUCGUCAAAACUGUCACUGCAAUCACAGGGGGAUGUGGCCAAUUUCAUCUUAUGAAGCUUGGAGUUGACUGCUCCGUGUCCGAAGAGGCACCUGAUGUAUUUGGUGUGACUGGAUUGGGAUUGGGAUGACUUCUUUUAGCAAACUUUGUAGAAGGAAGUGUUGGAAAGAGCGUGCAGUACUGAAAUGCAUUGUUAGAUCUAAUUAUUGUCCAUUUGCCUGCCCAUUUAGUUCUUAAGUUUUGCUUACAGAUAGAUAAUGCGUCUUGUAGCGUUAAUUCGGGGGCUUGUUCGCCAUCAAUAAUAGCUCUUUUUGCCUGUUUGUCAGCUGUUUCGUUUCCUGUGAUGGAGAAAUGCCCGUUGGCCCAUAUGAAGAAUGUAUUUACCUGUUUAGAAUCUAAGGCUCUUAAGGUUGUCAAAAUUUCCACGAUUAUUGAGUUAUUGUAUAGGGAGGUAACGGGGUCCACCAGAGCUGAUAAAACAAAUUUCGAAUCCGAUAUUAUAGCCAAGUUUGACAAGGGUAGCAGUGAAUUGUUUGCCCAAUCCAAAGCCUUAAAUAUAGCAAGUGCCUCUGCUGUAAAUAUUGUAGAGUUUUUGUUUAGUUUAAACAACAAACUUUCGUUUGUGUUUUCCCUGUACACUGCACAUCAUGUUCCAGUAGGGGAUUGUUUUAAUCCUAAUAGGGGACUUUUAAUCGUCAAAGUUAUAUUCAAGUAAUAUUGUUAACUGUAAUACUGAAUGCACGGAUUUGUACCUACAUGUUUUGUUACAGCUUUGUACACUGAAUUAUCUCAUGAUAUUACUGGCAUUCUAUCAAACGGUGGCUUCCGAAUAACCUUUGUGCGAUUUAAAGUGUUAGAUAAUAGCGUGUGUGUGGAAAAAACGCGAAUUGAUGCCAAUGUUGCCAAAACUCAUCCCACGCAAAGCACCAAUUCACGUGCCAGAAAGAAUGUUGUUGCAAGGCAAUUUUCAAAAAUACGCAAAAACGUGAAUUAGGUUUUUUUACGUUACUGUAUUGUUUGUUUUUAGAUUUGAUGAUUUAUGAACUUAUUUUUUAUCAAAUAUGAGACAAAAUUAAUUUUGUUUUUGGUUAUUUUAAAUUUUCAUAAAUUUUCAAACCUAAGGUGAUUUUCCUGUUGGAUUCCAUAUAUUCAUAUUGUAAUUUAUUAUUCUAACUGCGAAGUAAGCCACAAUUUAAAUUUAAGGCACCCAAAGUCCCAUUUAACGACAAUGUCACAGUAUAGGAGGAAUCAGUAAGCUCACUCCCCGAAAAAUGCAUUGUUUUCAAUGUUCCAAUUUGGCGAAUCUGCGCAAAGUCGUCCAAAAUUCGUUUCACCGUGCGCAUCCGAUGAGAGCGGAUACGUUUGCCGAUUGGUCGUGACCGCCAUCUGAUUUUCAUGAAUUUUGUGAGGUUGUGUUUGGGAAUUGUUUGUUGUUUUGGUUAAUUUACCAAUUUAUUUUCAUACAUUUUUCAUAUUAAUAAUAGGUAGUUAUGUAUAUUAUGUACUGUGAAUGUGAUAUUAUUUUCUUAAAUCAAUCAAAUGGAGAUGAAGCAAGCAGAAAACAAUUUUUACAAGGAACAAUGUAAAAUUAAAAUCGAAAGUUCUGGACAACCUGUGUGAUGCUGUAAUAAUUAUGUUCCUAUUCUGUUAAAACUGAGAUAGAGAGUCUUUAAAACUGAUAAAAAUAGUUAUUUCUAUGAUGGAAAUUCUUUGGACCAAAUAAAUAGAGAAGUUAUUAUUGAAGACAUCAAAUAAAAGGAGGAAAAUUUAUGUGAAAAAUGAUUUUCAUAAUAAAAGAAGAACUGACGUUAUUAUGAAACCAGUGUAUGGACGGUGUGUUUUACUGACUUAAAGCAAGAGUACCUUUUAUACUUGAAUUUGUCACAUUUUUUAAUUUCAUAAUUUUAUUUAUGUAAGUUGUGAUUGUAAAAAUAUUGUUAAGUUGUAUUCAUAGUUCUCUACUUGUUCUUUUGAAGUACUGUUUUUAUUAUAAUUGGUAUUGUAAAGUUGAAAUCCUCAAAUCAAAAUAUAAUUUAUAAUUCGAA